AAGCGCUUGCAAUCAGACUUGCACUUGGUGUUCAUCAGGGUCUCGUACCCUGUGUACUUCAUCAAGUUCAGGCCAGCAUCAGUUUGAGUGGUUAGAUAAAGGCUUUGGGAAUGUGGCUCCCUCGGGAGUGUUAUAGCCCAUUGCGCAAUACCCUGCGCCGGACUGAGGUACGCGCAUUCGCAAGGAUGCUGGCGUAAUGGU
rnacentral:rRNA from 1 species